CAGGUCUGAACGCAAGCUCGAUGGCAACUCUCUGCUCCGUCUGCCAGGGUUCCAGCUCCAACCGCUCCUCUCCAUCUUCCACCUUCUUUUUCCAAAGUAACAAAGCCAUUGGAUUUCCUCCCACCCCUUCCCUGCGCCUCCCCUCCCCCUCGCUGGCACCGGGGUUAUUUAUACAGAAUGUGGAAACAAUUUGCAGGAAAGUGAACAAUCACAGGGUGCUGCAGAACAGAAUGAAGAAAAGCAGCUGA
rnacentral:lncRNA from 1 species